rnacentral:rRNA from 1 species
GACGAACGCUGGCGGCGUGCUUAACACAUGCAAGUCGAACGGAAAGGCCCUGCUUUUGUGGGGUGCUCGAGUGGCGAACGGGUGAGUAACACGUGAGUAACCUGCCCUUGACUUUGGGAUAACUUCAGGAAACUGGGGCUAAUACCGGAUAGGAGCUCCUGCUGCAUGGUGGGGGUUGGAAAGUUUCGGCGGUUGGGGAUGGACUCGCGGCUUAUCAGCUUGUUGGUGGGGUAGUGGCUUACCAAGGCUUUGACGGGUAGCCGGCCUGAGAGGGUGACCGGCCACAAUGGGACUGAGAUACCGCCCAGGCUCCUACGGGAGGCAGCAGGUGGGAAUAUUGCACAAUGAGCGGAAGCCUGAUGCAGCAACGCCGCGUGCGGGAUGACGGCCUUCGGGUUGUAAACCGCUUUCGCCUGUGACGAAGCGUGAGUGACGGUAAUGGGUAAAGAAGCACCGGCUAACUACGUG